CCUCAUCGUGUUUUCAUUCUUCACCAGUACAGCACGUCAGUUCUUCCUCCAUUCACAAAGCAGUGAUGGCGUGCAUCAGAUUCAUCAAGUGCUUGUUUCUCUUUAUAAUUCUGUUCAUCUUAUCUCUCCUGUGCCUAAUUUUCAUGGCAAGCUGGGCCAAGGACCAAGUGCCGCUGUUGUUCUCUGAAGUUUCAGGAAUUACUGAAAGAGUACAAGAAGUUGACAAAUACAAAAUGUGUCAUUUUGCAAGUUGCUCAAAAGGCUUUGAGGCUUUGAAAGUCUGUUAUGUGUGUUGACAUAAAACAAGGGUUAUUAGGUUAUUUGUCUUUUUUUUGCUUGUGAUAAUUUUUAAUGACCUACCAUUACCUUCUUGGCUGCUGUUAACUAAAUGCUCAGACAAUGCCAUUGGUCAGUUGCAAUGUUGGUCCUGGACGAAUAUUAUUAUAAAAAUGUAGCAAUGAUACCAACACAAUAAUCGUAUGCAAAAAUCAUAGAAGUAUAAUAUUUCCCUGUACUUACUACACCACUCACUUUAGUGUAGUAAAUUUAAUUGUACCAUUUUUUUUCCAUUAG
ensembl:lncRNA